CUGGCGACCGGCGCACGGGUGAGUAACACGUAUCCAACCUGCUGAUAACUCGGGGAUAGCCUUUCGAAAGAAAGAUUAAUACCCGAUGGCAUAAUUAGACCGCAUGGUCUUAUUAUUAAAGAAUUUCGGUUAUCGAUGGGGAUGCGUUCCAUUAGGCAGUUGGUGAGGUAACGGCUCACCAAACCUUCGAUGGAUAGGGGUUCUGAGAGGAAGGUCCCCCACAUUGGAACUGAGACACGGUCCAA
rnacentral:rRNA from 1 species